rnacentral:rRNA from 1 species
UGGGGAAUAUUGGACAAUGGGCGAAAGCCUGAUCCAGCCAUGCCGCGUGUGUGAAGAAGGUCUUCGGGUUGUAAAGCCCUUUUGUUGGGAAAGAAAAGCAAUCGGCUAAUACCCGGUUGUUCUGACGGUACCCAAAGAAUAAGCACCGGCUAACUUCGUGCCAGCAGCCGCGGUAAUACGAAGGGUGCAAGCGUUACUCGGAAUUACUGGGCGUAAAGCGUGCGUAGGUGGUUGUUUAAGUCUGUUGUGAAAGCCCUGGGCUCAACCUGGGAAUUGCAGUGGAUACUGGGCGACUAGAGUGUGGUAGAGGGUAGUGGAAUUCCCGGUGUAGCAGUGAAAUGCGUAGAGAUCGGGAGGAACAUCCAUGGCGAAGGCAGCUACCUGGACCAACACUGACACUGAGGCACGAAAGCGUGGGGAGCAAACAGGAUUAGAUACCCCAGUAGUCCCUGAGCGGGCUGGCAAGGCGCAU